GCCGGCGCGCGGCGCGCCCCUCCGGAGAAGAGGAGGAGGGAAGAGGAGGAGGAAGGAGGCGGGAGGAGGAGUUGCGGAGAGGAGGGCUGAGCACGGCAGUCGCACGCGCUGGGGAGGAAGCGGGAAGCGGGGCUGCCGCCGGGGCGUCACACUUGGAGACUAUGUUUGGGGAGCGGUGGCUAUCCCAUUGUCCCUGGGAGGAGACUCUUGAGUAGUAGAGAAGAAGAAAAGAAGAGACGGCAUCUCUCUGAAGGCCUGGGAGACGACCAGUUGUCUGAGCAUCAGUAAACCUUGAAGGUGUCACGAUGCCAUCCUGAAAUCUUCCAACAGCCUGGUUUCUGGGAGGUGCAAGGAACUGAGUGAUUCAUCUGGAUCAUCUGCUGCAUCAUCAGGAAAGAGUGCCUGAGGGACAGAGGCAGGAUGAGGACUUCACAUCCCUGGCAUCUAACCUCUGCCGGCUCAUGGCCUACCUCUACAUGGCGCUACCUUUUGACUGCAAUGUGCAGAGAUCAGUGUCCGCCCACGGCCUACCCCCUCUUGGGAAGGGACUCGGACAAAUUUGCCGCCAUGACGGUUGACACUUCUCAUCUAGGAUGGAGGAAUGGGGUUCCGAAAUUUGUUCCACCACUUUUGAAAGGAUUGCAGCUGUGAGGGUGAGACGUCGUCCACCGUGCUGAUGAAGCCAGCCUCUCCCGUUUGGCAGGGAGAAUGUGCCUGUGUCCCUGACCCCCGGGAGCCAGCACGCAAGCCCUGGACUCUGUGACCCAGACUCUUCGGUGAGUGCGAAAAAAACCCGAUCGUGUUUAAGGUACUGUUAUUUCAUUUCUCUGUUAUGGCAGCC
rnacentral:lncRNA from 1 species